rnacentral:tRNA from 1 species
AAAAUAUAUUUUUAAUUUUAAUUAAUAAAGUUAAAAAAAAUAAAUAAAGAUUUUUAUAAUAUAUUAAUAAAUUUAUAUUGAUAUUAUUUUAUAGAUAUUUAUUAAAUAAAUAUCUAAAAUUUAAGUAUAUCAUUUACAAUGAUAAGAUGUUUUAAAUAACUUUAUUUAUAUU